rnacentral:rRNA from 1 species
UACGAAGGGGGCUAGCGUUGUUCGGAAUUACUGGGCGUAAAGCGCGCGCAGGCGGUUCUUCAAGUCAGAGGUGAAAGCCCAGAGCUCAACUCUGGAAUGGCCUUUGAGACUAGAGAACUUGGGUACGGGAGAGGUGAGUGGAAUUCCGAGUGUAGAGGUGAAAUUCGUAGAUAUUCGGGAGAACACCAGUGGCGAAGGCGGCUCACUGGCCCGUUACCGACGCUCAGGCGCGACAGCGUGGGGAGCAAACAGG